GCCGCUCCCCCACUCCAAAGCUGCUAUUUACGGGGCUUUCGCGUUUUCUUGCAAAUCAAGACCAAAAAAAAAAAAAAAAAAAAAGAGAGAGAGAGAGGGAGAGAGAGAGAAAAGAAAAGCAAAAAAGAUGUAGAGAGCAAAACAAUGCGGGAGAUCUGGGCUGCAGCGGCAGAGCGGCUCCGGGAGCUGCUGGCCGCCCGCUCCGCACGGGCACGGCAGGGACAGGGAUAGGGCGGGGGGCACGGCCGCCCGCAGCCCUGAGUGCCGCCGCGGGAGCCACUUCUAGGUGAAGGCAGUCGUGAAGCACACACAUCCUACAGAAUGACCACGAUAUGGACUGCAGUUCUUCACACUGACAGCGUGAGAAGAAAGAAGAAACAGUGACGAAUUCACCCUGUGUAUUAAGGACCUCUACCACCUCCUCCCGUUAACCCCCACCUUACAUCCUUGUCCUGCACCUCUGGAAGCUCAUUUGUUAGUGCAAUGUCAUGUGUUCUCUUUAGUGCCUCAACUCAGGGUGCUGGUUGGAGGCAGCUGGGUGCUCCCUCCGUAUAAUAUGUGUCCUAGCCCAGGCUGAGGGGGCAAACCUGCUCCCUCUGGACUCUGUAUCCAGGUAAGCAGAAUGGCAAAACGUUUGUUGUAAAAGUUUGUGAAGAAUUGCUGCAGGGUUAUUCGGAGCGGGCUACUGAUAGGACUGUGAAUGGGAACAAAAAACCUCACUGACAACUGACACAGCACAAGAGUUAAUCAUCUUGAAUCAUAAUAAUUUGUCAUCGAAAAAAAAAAAGAAAACAACCCACUGAGAUCAAAGGCAAUUUUAGAGGAGUGAUUAUUUUGACAGAAGUGGCAUGUGGAGCUGUGCAUAUUACAGCAGGCAGCACGGGAGGUGCCAGCCUAUGGGAAAUGUGCACGCAGCUAUCAGAAGGGCAUGCGGUAAAAGGUAAAACAUUCAGAUGAACUUUUCAGCCAAAUGGUAGACAGUAUUGCAGCUGAUGGCAAGUGUUUGCCUGACAGAAAAGUAGUAUGUGCUACUUCAUGUUGGACAGUGAUGCCCAAACCAAUGCAGUACAACAGUCUAAGUCAUUCACAGUGACAGCAAAGCCAAAGGAAGAAGACAGAAGCCCAUUACUGGGUAAAAGUACGUCCAUUCCACAGCUUCCUCAGGAGAAUGUCUUCAUCAGGGAAGCAAAGGAGAAAAACAGCUUAAGAAAAAUCUCAGGAUUUUCCAUAGCAUAGUGACAAAUUGCACCUUUUCCAGUUUGUUAGCUAUUAUAUAUAUCUCCAGGAGGGAAAGGAUCAGUGGUACAUACUUAUCUUUCUCCAUUCACCCUAGGAUGAAGGUCUGUAGAAAAGUACAUGUGCCUUUUGGCACAAGGUGGCUGGUGCUGUAUAUUCCCUGCAUCUGUUGCUGGUAUAGAGGAAAAAUUCACAUGGGAUUUUGUUAAAAAGGAAUGGAGAGGUGGUUUACCCUGUGUUGAAUAAACAUACUGAGAAGAACAUGGGAUGGUUAGCUAGGCAUGGAUAAACCCUCGAGAAAGGCAUGAAGAUGUUCUGCAUUGCCUGAAAAUGACAAGUGACACGGGAAAAUCUCAGACUCAUCACAGGUGCCACAAUGAAACUAAGUCAAGCAAAACCUCAGGAGACAAAGGUUCCUCAAAAGCAAAGCAUGCUUUGCUUUACAUAGGCUGGAAAAACAAAACCACGUACCCUAUGCUAUUUUUUUUCCUUUGCUGAGCUAGCCUAAAUAGAAGAUAUUACAGAUGAGUGUAUGUGUCAAAAGCAUUGGAUAAGUUGGGAUGCAGCUGACAUAACUGUAAGUGACAGCGACAUUAUUUAGUUUAAGUAGUUUGCAGUUAAGUAUAGACUUAGACAUAAUCUUGCCAAUGGAACAGUUCCCACCCUAAUAUGUGAGUAAGAAAUGGUGCCAGAUUAAUAAAGAGUUUAUUGAACAGAAGCCAGAGCCAGAGCCUGAUCCACAUUUAGAACAACUGAGUUCAAGAGCAGCAUCGGUGAUGCAUGGAGCUGUCACCUGAGGAUGUUUUUUCCUAUGGAAAACUGAAAUUCAGACUAACUGCAUUAUGAGACACCAGAGACCUGUAGAAAUGGAGGGUGAGAUAGCAAGGCAAACUCCUCGGUUGAACUCAUUGUUCUCAAAUCCAUCUCCUCCGAGAAUAAGGGUCAGAGCCGAUACCAAACUUCAUGGGGAUUUUGAGCCUCUUGGCAGUUACAAAUGUGUGAUUUUAAGAGUAACUGCUGUGUAAGUAAUUCUUUCAUGUGUUUGCUGCAACGUGCACUCCAUGCCCACUGCAGACCGUCACCACGUACUGAUGGUAACCCCCAUCCCAGUCCAUUCUUUUGACUUUAGCACCUGUGAAAGACGCAAGGACUUUCUUUACGUUGCGGAAAUAGGGUCAGUCACAUCUGUGGUGCCAACUUGUAGCGCACACCGCCUCAGGGCCCUGUCAGGUAUUGCAUCUAUGCAGUACAAAAGUAGUUUGUGCGUUCAGAGCGCUGCUUUAAACACAGCAGGUCUUGUUAGUGCUGAAGCGUCAUCUCAGAGGGACUUUUACAUGUUAUAAACAGUUCGCUGGAAGAUUAAGAAAAUGGCGUGACAUUGUCUGGAUCAUAAGUAUUUUUAUUUUAUGGAAUAUCCAACUGUAAGCACAUUUUUGGCAGGCAAAAUAUACGAAAUCUAAGCAGAUACAGGAAGAUACUCUAAAUAGUAACGGUGGCCGGCUUUCAUAGCCUCUGCCACAGAGUCCCAGCAGAAGGCGGACUGGACAGAGGCCGUGCCGGCCUGAAGGGAGGUUUUGCUUUCACUGAAAGGCGAAACGCCUCUGCAGAAGCCGAGGCCGCGGCGCCGCGCGCCAUGCCCGCAGCCAGGCGGCCGUUGCGCCGCGCCGCCGCUGGGUGUCGCCCACGGUGGGGCCGCGGCGCGGAGGCGGGGCGCGUGGCGCUGCACAAAAUGAGCGGCGCCGUUGUUGUGGCCGUCGCCAUCUUGGCUCGCCGCCUCCCUCGGCGUGGGGCGGGGGGAGGCGGGGGAAGCUGCCGCCCUAAGGCGAGGUUUAACCCUCGGGAGGCCGCCGUCGCUGCCGUGUGCCAGGACGCGUCUUGUCCUUUAACGGCGCACACGGCGGCGUAGGAACGCCGUCACGGGCAGGGUGGGCGGCUGAGAGGAAGCCUCGCCCACGGCUUUGCAUGCGAGGAGGAGCCGUGCAACGGCAGUGGCGAGCGGGGCUGCGCGCGUUUGAAGAGCAGUUGAUGCCACAAAGGAAUGCGGCGUGCGGAGCGUGCUUUGGGCUUUGCGAGCACCUGAUACAAUUUGCUGGAAAAUUGAAUUUGGGGGCACAGUGAAAAUCAAAUCAGGGACAGAAAAGUGAUAAGAAUGCUGAGCAAGGGCUUGUCCUAGGAAUCACAGAUGAAGACUGAUUUUGCAGCUGUGGGAAUGGCAGAGCGCUCCCAGCUGCCUGGAAACCGAAAUCAAGAGAUGUGGAGGUACUGGAAGGCACAAAUACCCAGCGGUUGUCCUUGGUUUCUUUCCUGGAAAUCAGGAGUCCACGCUGAGGAAAUUAGUGCACUUUCCUGGUCCUUUCACAUAGCUCAGACCUUGCUGUACGUUACCCCAAGGCUGGCCCCCAGUCCGUGUGUGGAAGGUGCUUCCGAUGAACAUGUGUGAUGGCACUGCCUGGUGCCCAUCCCUACAGCAGCCCUAUGGACCGCAAGGCACGGCAGGUUCAGGUUCAUCACAGCGCCAUUUGUCACAUUUGGCAUUCUCUCUUUGUGAAAAUGUCAGUUAUUGGGAAAGGGGCAGUGUUGGCAGGGGCUGUUGAUUAGCAACAGACCACACAGCUAGAUAUGUUCCCGUGGCACUGCUGUUUGCAGCCGCUCACAUAUGCGGGAGUGCUGUGAGUGCUUCAUAAAAAAACAGUGAAGAGAAAUGGAAGUGGAAAUGGGGAGAUGAGAAGUUUGUAGAAGUGACUCAUUGUGACAACUGCAUGCGAAGGUGAAAGAUACUCAACACCUUAGCCAAGAAAAGAGCUCAAAUCUGCUUGACGUAAACUUCAGUGUGGAUAUUUUGAUAUUAAAAGGUAGACUCCACACAAAGUCAGUCCAGAAUCAGGUUUUUAACAGGAAAACUGCUUAGCCUCUAUGAGGCCCCACCAUUAUAUCUUUCUGAAAUGUUUCAAUUGACAGAACUGAUAAAAAAUGAAUGCUUCAGGAAUUUAUCAUAUUCUGGAACCUUUUUCAAAUGAAGUAUGUUGUUAGAAAUGAUCAGCUUUGAAAAUGUGUUAAGAAAACUGAUUAUAUUUUGCAUGGCAUAAUUCUGUAUU
rnacentral:lncRNA from 1 species